GAACACUGAUUAGCAGACAAAUAUCUGUGCACAGGGGCAAUGCGGGGCCCCUCAUUGACACAGAACAAGCCUCUGAGGGCGGACCUCCUGAAUAUAUCAGUAUAGGUUAGGGCAGUAUAAUCUGGAGUUCACUGUGGGGGCUCAGCACCUAGAACAGGAAAAAAAAAAAAACCCUGAGGCUGGACUGGUCAUUGGAAUUGGUCUGGAGGUUAGAAGUCCAGAAGCAAGGUUCAGCAAGGUGUCAGGCAAGAGGGCCCUGCUAUGAGGAGAGAAGAGCUGGGGGCCAAGGACUGGAGCAGGAAGGGACCCAGUCAAGGCCAACACUGACCCCAGAGGAUGAGCCCCUGGGAGGAAUCGUCUCUUCAUGAUGUAGACUCCCACGCCCAAGUUUUGCCUGUAAAACUAGAACAGGUUCCAUCCAUGCUGAACUGCCCGCCCUUUCUCAUCUUGGUUUCCCUCUGCAGUGACUCACUGGUCUGAGCACGUUUCUCCCCACAUCAGGGAUGGGAAGCACGGAGAAGACCGUGGUCCAGCGCCCUCUGAAGUCAUUGGCGACCGCGAUGGAAGUAGUUGGGGGUCGACAGUAAAGUUGGAGACUGAAAUUAUUUGAGCUCUUAAAAUGGGAUAAUAAGGUAACUUUCCUCCUCCUGGUAUGAGCUCAUUUAAUUGUAAAGAUCUUAAUAAAUUCAGCCUGAUUAACUCCAACCUUGUGGGGGAAGGUUAUUCAGUGUUGUGGAAUUUAUUUUAAACAGAAGCAAAAAAACAAAUUG
rnacentral:lncRNA from 1 species